rnacentral:misc_RNA from 1 species
GUAGGUGAACCUGCGGAAGGAUCAUUACCGAGUGAGGGUCUGGGUCCAACCUCCCACCCGUGUUUAUUUACCUUGUUGCUUCGGCGGGCCCGCCUUAACUGGCCGCCGGCUUCCGCCCGGGCCCGCGCCCGCCGAAGACACCCGAACUCUGUCUGAAGAUUGCAGUCUGAGUGAAAAUAUAAAUUAUUUAAAACUUUCAACAACGGAUCUCUUGGUUCCGGCAUCGAUGAAGAACGCAGCGAAAUGCGAUACGUAAUGUGAAUUGCAAAUUCAGUGAAUCAUCGAGUCUUUGAACGCACAUUGCGCCCCCUGGUAUUCCGGGGCAUGCCUGUCCGAGCGUCAUUUCUGCCCUCAAGCCCGGCUUGUGUGUUGGGCCCCGUCCCCCGAUCCCGGGACAGGCCCGAAAGGCAGCGGCGGCACCGCGUCCGGUCCUCGAGCGUAUGGCUUUGUCACCCGCUCUGUAGGCCCGGCCGGCGCCUGCCACCAACCCAAAUUUUUU